GAUGAUUUGAGUAAUUUACAAGAUGUAAAAAGGGGGAGGAUAGUCAUUCUAAAAUUUGACUUCGUUCACAGUGAACAUGAUUAUCAUGAUAAAUGUAGGGUAUCCUUACACUUUCAAUGUAAUCAUGGUGUAAAUGUAUUUUAUAAUUUGUAUCAAUACAUACAAUCAUUAUGCAUUUUAUUCACAUAUAUUUUUAUAGAGGAACCUUGAUAUCAUUAGUGUUAAUUUGCUUUAUCUUUUUUUCUUGUGUUCCAAGAUUUGCUUUUUUAAUUAGUAAUUACUCAUUUUUUCAAUUAUUCAACAUAAACUGACUCUCAGUUUCGCUGUGGUGUUGUCCCAAUACGGGUAGAGACAGGACGCUACGAGAGUCAUCCAAUAGAUCAAUCAAAGAACUUGUUUUGUUUGUGACGAUAUAAUUGAAACGGAGGAGCAUGUAUUGACUGUAUGUCCGUUGUACGACGAUCUUA
rnacentral:lncRNA from 1 species